rnacentral:other from 1 species
UCUCCCCUGCGGUGUUCGAGCUGGCCAUACACUCUUUGAACCAAUGCUACGAUAGCGAGGUCGCCGCGCCUUAAACGGACCGGUGUGCGCUCCCUACGCGGAAGCGCCUAAUGGUCCAGGUAGGCGACCCUCUUGAACCCAGGUUCAAGAUGACGGUUGGCACGGCACAGGUGGGGGACCU